rnacentral:tRNA from 1 species
UCCCUGAUGGUCCAUUGCCUAAGACUUUGCUCUCCCAGUGCAGGGAACCUGGGUUCAAUCCCUGGUCAGGGAA